AUGUGCUUAGUUCUGAAGGGUUUGAGAGAGGAACAGCAGUGCAGUUUCAGAGGGAGACCCGUCGAGAUUCUUUCAGAAAACUGUCGCAGAUUGCUACGUACUUUGAAUGGGUUCAGAAGCACCUGCCAAGCAACGCGGUCUCUUGAUCGAGUUCGUAUGAAUGGAUGGAAAAGGAGCAGAAAACCUCAACCGGAUCCCCUACAUUUUACAGAAAAAAACUGCAUUCUACAUAAUAGAAAACAGCAAAGGAGGAGUAACAAGUCUUGGGAUGUAGGCAAAGAGAACAGACAAAAUAUAGUCCGGGUAAACCUACAAAAAAAUACUGACAGAAAACAAAAUGAUCCUUGUGGUCACCAAUCAAAUUGUUCUGGGUACACUUGUCGGGCCGUUAUCGGGGUGAGCUUCAGGUUGGUUGAUGAAACCACAAAACUAAUGGUUCCAAUCAUGAUUCCCAAGAAAUCAUCACUGCUGAAGGACAAUUUGUGA
rnacentral:rRNA from 1 species